rnacentral:tRNA from 1 species
GCCUGGCUGGCUCAGUAGAUAGGGCAUGUGACUCCUGAUCUCAGAGUCAUGAGUUUGAGCCCCAUGUUGGGCG